CACGUAGGGGGCGAGCGUUGUCCGGAUUUAUUGGGCGUAAAGAGCUCGUAGGCGGGAUGGCAAGUCGGUCGUGAAAUCCCUCGGCUCAACCGAGGAACGUCGAUCGAUACUGCUGUUCUUGAGGAUUGCAGAGGAGACUGGAAUUCCCGGUGUAGCGGUGAAAUGUGUAGAGAUCGGGAGGAACACCGGUGGCGAAGGCGGGUCUCUGGGCAAUUCCUGACGCUGAGGCGCGAAAGCGUGGGGAGCAAACGGG
rnacentral:rRNA from 1 species